AGCAGCAGGAGCUCAACUGGUCAGAAAAGUCAUUUCCUGAGAUAAGAAAUGUAAAAUAAGUGCCAGUGGUGGAGACUUAAUUGCUGCAAAUCUGGAAGACUAUUUCCCUCUUCCUAAACAUCCAAUAUACAUGAAAAGGGAUUUAAGCGCUGAGGAAUUAUUAAAAAAAAAGUAAAAAUAAAAAACCAAGUUGCUGCUUCUUCAACUGGACAGCUCAGGUAAUUCUGGAUUAUUGUAGGAGAGGUGAUGGUGCCUAGAAGAGAAAUUUGGAUCUUCCAGAACAGGGUGGUUUUCUUGAGAAGGACAGGUUCUGGAGGCAGCCUGGGAAAACACAGCCUGGAGGAUGAGUUGUUUUGGGUGGAGAAUGGCUUUUGCCAGGAUUUAUGUUGCCUUUAUGGAGACACAAGGAAUUCUUCUGACAAUUUAAGUCCCUGCACUGAAGUAAGUUGUUCUUUGCCUUUUUUUUUUGUUUGUUUCCCAGUGCUGACAGUAAUUUAGACAGAAAGCACAAAGAUGUUCAACUCUGCUUGGCUGAACUUGU